rnacentral:misc_RNA from 1 species
UCAUUCAUGGUUCCUUUACAAGUUCGUUGUUUUUGCCACUGCUCAGAGAAUCAGCAAAUAAUGACUUUUAACAUACCUAAAAAAUGUCCUGUUUGUAACAUAAAACUGCACGAAAAAGAUCUGUUAAAUUUCUACUAUUUUCCAAGUCCAUUUUAUUUUCAUCUUGAUGCCAUUAUAAAUGGAGAAGUCAGCGGUUUUGCAAUAAUGCCAUUUAGUAUAUUAGUAAAACCGACUAAUGAAGCUAUACUGAUGGCGAUGACUUGCAUGUUGCUCUUACUGAUUCUCAAGCAAAUAUCUAUAGUUUUAACCAACAUGGUGUUAUUAUUGAAAAACAUAAUUGGAACUGUUGCUUAUGCAUACCAAUCAUAGAAUCUCUUGAUAAUGAAAAGGAUCUUGAAUUAUAUUGGGAUGCAACGUUAAAAAAGUCAAUUUGCAAUAAUGUUUGGAUUUAUCAAAGGUACCAUGAGCAAAGAUAUAAUUGUUAUCAUUAUGUCAAUACUAUAUUAACAGAAACACUUAAACUAAAUAUUUCAAAAGAAGACUUUUGUAGGCAUCAUAUUCUACCAGAGAUUCUACGUGCAACUGACUACAUUAUGUUAUACAAAGAAAUUCAAAAUAAAAAUUAUGUAGUACGUUAUA